CUCUCUCUCUCUCUCUGCGUCUCUGCUUUUUCCUCCCUCAAUAAUUCGUCCGAAUGGCAAUGUCGGCCUUGCAGUUUUUCCUAUAAAGUCCGCGCUCCAACGUGAUGAACCCUCCCCCGCUUUCGCCAAUUCCUCUCCCUAGUAACAUCAGCAGCAUCGUCCCUCUGUUUCUCUCUGCUGGUCCCACUCUGCCCAAUAGGCCCUUCUUCUUCUUCUUCUUCUUCUUC
rnacentral:lncRNA from 1 species